AGCCCCUCCCAGCAGCCGGCAACGCUGCAGCACAAGAGGCUCCGCUCCGGAGGACCCCGGGGACAACGCCCAUCUAGCAUCCCCACUUGCCGGUACCCAGAGCGCCAUCCCAACCUGGGAGUGCGAGGUUCCAAGUCAGAACGGAUCCACAACCACUACUACAUUGACAAAACAACUUCUGCCUCUACAUCCCAGCCUUUCCUCCCCGAGGAGGCUCUGGGUAAGAACUGGGCUAGAUCAGAUGCACACACGCACAUACAAGCACAUUCACAGGUCUGGAUGAGCGGCCCAGAGAGGGAAGAGCUCCUGCUGGAGUCACACAGCAACCCUGCAUUGGCUUUUCGACCAUCCCUCCGCUGCAAAGCUGUCCAGGGCGCUGUAGUGGCCCUAUGGGUCACCCGCUGGGGACCCCCGUUCUGCUUCCUGCUUUCACCUAGCUUGGCCUUUGUCAGCCAUCUUGAGGGGAGAGGAGGCCUUGGAGGAAGAAAAAGCAUACAUGUUCCCCCAACUACCUGGGUUCCUCGUGCCAGCUGGGGAGGAGCCCUACCCUGCAGCUUAGGGCUGCCUCGGCCAAAAGGCCCACGCUGAACCACUGGAGAAACACAAAUACUUAUGAUAGGCACCUGGCGUUCAUGUUUAUUUGUUUUCCUGCUUGUCUGUCUCCAUACAUUAGAUGGUGAUCACUAAAGUAGACACUAAAUAAAUAUAUGUUAAAGGG
ensembl:antisense Dnmt3bos DNA methyltransferase 3B, opposite strand